GAUGAACGCUAGCGGCGGGCCUAAUACAUGCAAGUCGAACGUGAAGCUCCUUCGGGAGUGGAAAGUGGCGGACGGGUGCGUAACGCGUAUGCAACUUACCCUUUACAGGGGGAUAGCCCAGAGAAAUUUGGAUUAAUACCCCAUAUAUCGGCAGUUUCACAUGGAACAACCGGGAAAGAUUUAUUGGUAAAGGAUGGGCAUGCGUAUGAUUAGCUAGUUGGUAAGGUAACGGCUUACCAAGGCAACGAUCAUUAGGGGGUCUGAGAGGAUGAUCCCCCACACUGGCACUGAGAUACGGGCCAGACUCCUACGGGAGGCAGCAGUAGGGAAUAUUGGGCAAUGGGCGAGAGCCUGACCCAGCCACGCCGCGUGAACGAAGAAGGUUUUGGAUUGUAAGUUCUUUUC
rnacentral:rRNA from 1 species